rnacentral:rRNA from 1 species
CAGUCGCCGCGGUAAUACGUAGGGCGCAAGCGUUAUCCGGAAUUAUUGGGCGUAAAGAACUCGUAGGCGGUUUGUCGCGUCUGCCGUGAAAGUCCGGGGCUCAACCCCGGAUCUGCGGUGGGUACGGGCAGACUAGAGUGAUGUAGGGGAGACUGGAAUUCCUGGUGUAGCGGUGAAAUGCGCAGAUAUCAGGAGGAACACCGAUGGCGAAGGCAGGUCUCUGGGCAUUAACUGACGCUGAGGAGCGAAAGCAUGGGGAGCGAACAGGAUUAGAUACCCCAGUAGUCCCUGUCUCUUAUAC